rnacentral:rRNA from 1 species
UAACGGUCCUAAGGUAGCGAAAUUCCUUGUCGGGUAAGUUCCGACCCGCACGAAUGGCGUAACGAUGGCCACACUGUCUCCUCCUGAGACUCAGCGAAGUUGAAGUGGUUGUGAAGAUGCAAUCUACCCGCUGCUAGACGGAAAGACCCCGUGAACCUUUACUGUAGCUUUGCAUUGGACUUUGAAGUCACUUGUGUAGGAUAGGUGGGAGGCUUUGAAGCAGAGACGCCAGUCUCUGUGGAGCCGUCCUUGAAAUACCACCCUGGUGUCUUUGAGGUUCUAACCCAGACCCGUAAUCCGGGUCGGGGACCGUGCAUGGUAGGCAGUUUGACUGGGGCGGUCUCCUCCCAAAGAGUAACGGAGGAGUUCGAAGGUUACCUAGGUCCGGUCGGAAAUCGGACUGAUAGUGCAAUGGCAAAAGGUAGCUUAACUGCGAGACCGACAAGUCGAGCAGGUGCGAAAGCAGGACAUAGUGAUCCGGUGGUUCUGUAUGGAAGGGCCAUCGCUCAACGGAUAAAAGGUACUCCGGGGAUAACAGGCUGAUAUCGACGGCGGUGUUUGGCACCUCGAUGUCGGCUCAUCACAUCCUGGGGCUGUAGUCGGUCCCAAGGGUAUGGCUGUUCGCCAUUUAAAGUGGUACGUGAGCUGGGUUUAAAACGUCGUGAGACAGUUUGGUCCCUAUCUGCAGUGGGCGUUGGAAGUUUGACGGGGGCUGCUCCUAGUACGAGAGGACCGGAGUGGACGAACCUCUGGUGUACCGGUUGUAACGCCAGUUGCAUAGCCGGGUAGCUAAGUUCGGAAGAGAUAAGCGCUGAAAGCAUCUAAGCGCGAAACUCGCCUGAAGAUGAGACUUCCCUUGUGGUUUAACCACACUAAAGAGUCGUUCGAGACCAGGACGUUGAUAGGUGGGGUGUGGAAGCGCGGUAACGCGUGAAGCUAACCCAUACUAAUUGCUCGUGAGGCUUGACUCU